AUCGUCAGCUAAGGUCCCUAAAUGUAAGUUAAGUGGUAAAGGAUGUGGGAUUGCACAGACAACCAGGAUGUUGGCUUAGAAGCAGCCACUCAUUCAAAGAGUGCGUAAUAGCUCACUGGUCGAGUGAUCCUGCGCCGAAGAUUUCCGGGGCUAAAACUUACUACCGAAGCUACGGCAUCAGUAAUGAUGGGUAGGGGAGCUUCCCAUACGGGUUGAAGCAUGACCGUAAGGACAUGUGGACAGUAUGGGAGUGAGAAUGUUGGCAUGAGUAGCGAGAUGUGGGUGAGAAUCCCACAGGCCGUAAACCCAAGGUUUCCAGGGGAAGGUUCGUCCGCCCUGGGUUAGUCGGGACCUAAGCUGAGGCCGAAAGGCGUAGGUGAUGGACAACAGGUUGAUAUUCCUGUACUACCGAUAACCGUUUGAGAGAAGGGAUGACACAGUAGGAUAAGCUAAGCACACUGUUGGUUAUGUGUGCCCAAGCAUUGAGGCAGUCAAAGUAGGUAAAUCCGCUUUGAUAAUGCUGGGAUGUGAUGGGGAGCGAAAUUUAGUAGCGAAGUAGCUGAUUUCACACUGUCAAGAAAAGUCUCUAUCGAGGUUAAAGGUACCCGUACCGCAAACCGACACAGGUGGGUGAGGAGAGUAUCCUAAGGCCAGCGAGAGAACUGUUGUUAAGGAACUCGGCAAAAUGACCCCGUAACUUAGGGAUAAGGGGUGCCACCAUCAGGUGGCCGCAGAGAAUAGGCCCAAGCGACUGUUUACCAAAAACAUAGGUUUCUGCUAAGUCGCAAGACGAUGUAUAGGAGCUGACGCCUGCCCGGUGCUGGAAGGUUAAGGGGAUCUGUUAGAGCAAUCGAAGCAGUGAACUUAAGCCCCAGUAAACGGCGGCCGUAACUAUAACGGUCCUAAGGUAGCGAAAUUCCUU
rnacentral:rRNA from 1 species